GUUUAUCAUCUUUUUUUAGAAAAAAA
rnacentral:tRNA from 1 species